UUUGUCUGAGGUGCUACUUU
rnacentral:siRNA from 1 species